rnacentral:rRNA from 1 species
GAGACUAUACAUGCAGUCGAGCGAACUGAUUAGAAGCUUGCUUCUAUGACGUUAGCGGCGGACGGGUGAGUAACACGUGGGCAACCUGCCUGUAAGACUGGGAUAACUUCGGGAAACCGAAGCUAAUACCGGAUAGGAUCUUCUCCUUCAUGGGAGAUGAUUGAAAGAUGGUUUCGGCUAUCACUUACAGAUGGGCCCGCGGUGCAUUAGCUAGUUGGUGAGGUAACGGCUCACCAAGGCAACGAUGCAUAGCCGACCUGAGAGGGUGAUCGGCCACACUGGGACUGAGACACGGCCCAGACUCCUACGGGAGGCAGCAGUAGGGAAUCUUCCGCAAUGGACGAAAGUCUGACGGAGCAACGCCGCGUGAGUGAUGAAGGCUUUCGGGUCGUAAAACUCUGUUGUUAGGGAAGAACAAGUACGAGAGUAACUGCUCGUACCUUGACGGUACCUAACCAGAAAGCCACGGCUAACUACGUGCCAGCAGCCGCGGUAAUACGUAGGUGGCAAGCGUUAUCCGGAAUUAUUGGGCGUAAAGCGCGCGCAGGCGGUUUCUUAAGUCUGAUGUGAAAGCCCACGGCUCAACCGUGGAGGGUCAUUGGAAACUGGGGAACUUGAGUGCAGAAGAGAAGAAGCGGAAUUACCACGUGUAGCGGUGAAAUGCGUAGAGAUGUGGAGGAACACCAGUGAUCAAGGCGGCUUCUUUGGUCUGUAACUGACGCUGAGGCGCGAAAGCGUGGGGAGCACACAUGAUUACAUACCCUGGUAGUCCACUCCGUAAACGAUGAGUGCUCACUGUUAAAAGGUUUUCUCCCCUUAGCACUGCAGCUACCCCGUUUGCAAUUCCCCUUCGGAGUUGAGGCGCAAGGUUUAAAAUCAAAAGAAAUGAACGGGGUCCGCGCAAGCGGUGGAGCAUGUUGUUUAAUUAGAAGCAACGCGAAGAACCUUACCAGGUCUUGACAUCCUUUGACAACUGUAGAGAUAGAGCGUUCCCCUUCGGGGGACAGAGUGACAGGUGGUGCAUGGUUGUCGUCAGCUCGUGUCGUGAGAUGUUGGGUUAAGUCCCGCAACGAGCGCAACCCUUGAUCUUAGUUGCCAGCAUUCAGUUGGGCACUCUAAGGUGACUGCCGGUGACAAACCGGAGGAAGGUGGGGAUGACGUCAAAUCAUCAUGCCCCUUAUGACCUGGGCUACACACGUGCUACAAUGGAUGGUACAAAGGGCUGCAAGACCGCGAGGUCAAGCCAAUCCCAUAAAACCAUUCUCAGUUCGGAUUGUAGGCUGCAACUCGCCUACAUGAAGCUGGAAUCGCUAGUAAUCGCGGAUCAGCAUGCCGCGGUGAAUACGUUCCCGGGCCUUGUACACACCGCCCGUCACACCACGAGAGUUUGUAACACCCGAAGUCGGUGGAGUAACCGUAAGGAGCUAGCCGCCUAUAGUGGACA